AUUGAACGCUGGCGGCGUGCCUAACACAUGCAAGUCGAGCGGUAACAGGUGUAGCAAUACAUGCUGACGAGCGGCGGACGGGUGAGUAACGCUUGGGAAUCUGCCUAUUAGUGGGGGACAACCCGGGGGAAACGUCGGGCUAAUACCGCAUACGCACUACGGUGGAAAGCCGGGGACCGCAAGGCCUGGCGCUAACAGAUGAGCCCAAGUCGGAUUAGCUAGUUGGUAGGGUAACGGCCUACCAAGGCGACGAUCCGUAACUGGUCUGAGAGGACGACCAGUCACACCGGAACUGAGACACGGUCCGGACUCCUACGGGAGGCAGCAGUGGGGAAUAUUGGACAAUGGGCGAAAGCCUGAUCCAGCGACGCCGCGUGGGUGAAGAAGGCCUGCGGGUUGUAAAGCCCUUUCAGUGGGGAAGAAAAGCCUCGAGUUAACACCUCGGGGUCUUGACGUAACCCAUAGAAGAAGCACCGGCU
rnacentral:rRNA from 1 species